rnacentral:rRNA from 1 species
GGACUACCGGGGUUUCUAAUCCUGUUUGAUCCCCACGCUUUCGCGCCUCAGCGUCAAUGUCGGUCCAGUUGGCCGCCUUCGCCACGGGUAUUCUUCCCAAUCUCUACGAAUUUCACCUCUACACUGGGAAUUCUACCAACCUCUACCGAAUUCGAGUGAGACAGUCUUGAAUGCAAUUCCCGGGUUGAGCCCAGGGCUUUCACAUCCAACUUGUCAAACCGCCUACGCGCCCUUUACGCCCAGUAAUUCCGAACAACGCUAGCUCCCUUCGUAUUACCGCGGCUGCUGGCAC